CCUACGGGUGGCAGCAGUGGGGAAUAUUGGACAAUGGGCGAAAGCCUGAUCCAGCCAUGCCGCGUGUGUGAAGAAGGCCUUCGGGUUGUAAAGCACUUUCAGUGGGGAAGAAAGCCUUGGGGCUAAUACCCUCGAGGAAGGACAUCACCCACAGAAGAAGCACCGGCUAACUCCGUGCCAGCAGCCGCGGUAAUACGGAGGGUGCGAGCGUUAAUCGGAAUUACUGGGCGUAAAGCGCGCGUAGGCGGUCUGAUAAGCCGGUUGUGAAAGCCCCGGGCUCAACCUGGGAUCGGCAUCCGGAACUGUCAGGCUAGAGUGCAGGAGAGGAAGGUAGAAUUCCCGGUGUAGCGGUGAAAUGCGUAGAGAUCGGGAGGAAUACCAGUGGCGAAGGCGGCCUUCUGGACUGACACUGACGCUGAGGUGCGAAAGCGUGGGUAGCAAACAGGAUUAGAUACCCCUGUAGUC
rnacentral:rRNA from 1 species